rnacentral:rRNA from 2 species
UCGAACGAUGAACCACUUCGGUGGGGGAUUAGUGGCGAACGGGUGAGUAACACGUGGGCAAUCUGCCCUUCACUCUGGGACAAGCCCUGGAAACGGGGUCUAAUACCGGAUACGACCACUGAGGGCAUCUUCGGUGGUGGAAAGCUCCGGCGGUGAAGGAUGAGCCCGCGGCCUAUCAGCUUGUUGGUGGGGUAAUGGCCUACCAAGGCGACGACGGGUAGCCGGCCUGAGAGGGCGACCGGCCACACUGGGACUGAGACACGGCCCAGACUCCUACGGGAGGCAGCAGUGGGGAAUAUUGCACAAUGGGCGAAAGCCUGAUGCAGCGACGCCGCGUGAGGGAUGACGGCCUUCGGGUUGUAAACCUCUUUCAGCAGGGAAGAAGCGAAAGUGACGGUGCGUGCAGAAGAAGCGCCGGCUAACUACGUGCCAGCAGCCGCGGUAAUACGUAGGGCGCAAGCGUUGUCCGGAAUUAUUGGGCGUAAAGAGCUCGUAGGCGGCUUGUCACGUCGGAUGUGAAAGCCCGGGGCUUAACCCCGGGUCUGCAUUCGAUACGGGCAGGCUAG